rnacentral:rRNA from 1 species
UACAGAGGUCUCAAGCGUUGUUCGGAUUCAUUGGGCGUAAAGGGUGCGUAGGUGGCGGGGUUAGUCAGGUGUGAAAUCUCGGAGCUCAACUCCGAAACUGCACUUGAUACUGCCUUGCUAGAGUACUGGAGAGGAGAUUGGAAUUUACGGUGUAGCAGUGAAAUGCGUAGAUAUCGUAAGGAAGACCAGUGGCGAAGGCGAGUCUCUGGACAGUUACCGACGCUGAGGCACGAAGGUCAGGGGAGCAAACGGG